rnacentral:rRNA from 1 species
UACAGAGGGGGCAAGCGUUGUUCGGAAUUAUUGGGCGUAAAGGGUGCGUAGGCGGUGCGGUAAGUCUUCUGUGAAAUCUCCGGGCUCAACUCGGAGCCUGCAGGAGAAACUGCCGUGCUUGAGUAUGGGAGAGGUGAGUGGAAUUCCUGGUGUAGCGGUGAAAUGCGUAGAUAUCAGGAGGAACACCUGUGGCGAAAGCGGCUCACUGGACCAUAACUGACGCUGAGGCACGAAAGCUAGGGGAGCAAACAGGAUUAGAUACCCUGGUAGUCCUAGCCCUAAACGAUGAUUGCUUGGUGUAGCAGGUACCCAAUCCUGCUGUGCCGCAGCUAACGCGUUAAGCAAUCCGCCUGGGGAGUACGGCCGCAAGGCUAAA